GAGCGGCGGACGGGUGAGUAACGCGUGGGAAACCUGCCCUGAUCCGGGGGAUAACAGUUGGAAACGACUACUAAUACCGCAUAAGCGCACAGAAUCGCAUGAUUCAGUGUGAAAAACUCCGGUGGAUCAGGAUGGUCCCGCGUCCGAUUAGCCAGUUGGCGGGGUAACGGCCCACCAAAGCGACGAUCGGUAGCCGACCUGAGAGGGUGACCGGCCACAUUGGGACUGAGACACGGCCCAAACUCCUACGGGAGGCAGCAGUGGGGAAUAUUGCACAAUGGGCGAAAGCCUGAUGCAGCGACGCCGCGUGAGUGAAGAAGUAUUUCGGUAUGUAAAGCUCUAUCAGCAGGGAAGAAAAUGACGGUACCUGCACAAGAAGCCCCGGCUAACUACGUGCCAGCAGCCGCGGUAAUACGUAGGGGGCAAGCGUUAUCCGGAUUUACUGGGUGUAAAGGGAGCGUAGAUGGAAUGGCAAGUCAGAUGUGAAAGGCAUGGGCUCAACUCGUGGACUGCAUUUGAAACUGUCAAUCUGGAGUGUCGGAGGGGCAAGCGGAAUUCCUGGUGUAGCGGUGAAAUGCGUAGAUAUCAGGAGGAACACCGGUGGCGAAGGCGGCUUGCUGGACGAUUACUGACAUUGAGGCUCGAAAGCGUGGGGAGCAAACAGGAUUAGAUACCCUGGUAGUCCACGCGGUAAACGAUGAAUACUAGGUGCUGGGUGCCACAGGCAUUCGGUGCCGCCGCUAACGCAUUAAGUAUUCCACCUGGGGAGUACGUUCGCAAGAAUGAAACUCAAAGGAAUUGACGGGGACCCGCACAAGCGGUGGAGCAUUGUGGUUUAAUUCGAAGCAACGCGAAGAACCUUACCAAGUUCUUGACAUCUCCCUGACCGUCCUGGAAACAGGACUUCUCUUCGGAGCAGGGAUGACAGGUGGUGCAUGGUUGUCGUCAGCUCGUGUCGUGAGAUGUUGGGUUAACGUCCCGCAACGAGCGCAACCCUUAUGUUCAGUAGCCAGCGGUUCGGCCGGGCACUCUGGGCAGACUGCCAGGGAUAACCUGGAGGAAGGCGGGGAUGACGUCAAAUCAUCAUGCCCCUUAUGAUUUGGGCUACACACGUGCUACAAUGGCGUUUAACAGAGGGAAGCAAACCCGCGAGGGGGAGCCAAUCCAAAAACAACGUCCCAGUUCGGACUGUAGUCUGCAACCCGACUACACGAAGCUGGAAUCGCUAGUAAUCGCGAAUCAGAAUGUCGCGGUGAAUACGUUCCCGGGUCUUGUACACACCGCCCGUCACACCAUGGGAGUCGAUAACGCCCGAAGCCGGUGACUCAACCGCAAGGAGAGAGCCGUCGAAGGCGG
rnacentral:rRNA from 1 species